UACGUAGGGUGCAAGCGUUGUCCGGAAUUAUUGGGCGUAAAGAGCUCGUAGGCGGUCUGUCGCGUCUGCUGUGAAAACUCAGGGCUUAACCCUGAGCUUGCAGUGGGUACGGGCAGACUAGAGUGCGGUAGGGGAGACUGGAAUUCCUGGUGUAGCGGUGAAAUGCGCAGAUAUCAGGGGGAACACCGGUGGCGAAGGCGGGUCUCUGGGCCGUAACUGACGCUGAGGCACGAAAGCGUGGGGAGCAAACAGG
rnacentral:rRNA from 1 species